rnacentral:lncRNA from 1 species
CUUAGGGAUGAAAUUGAAACUGCUGAACAAAAUCAGUGACCCCCCUCCGCAAGCCACCCGAAUCAGCCCUCCAGCCGGCUCGAGCUGUUUGGUCAAAAACUAUCAGCUGAGGUAGGACCGUCACAUAGGAAGAUGAUGAACUCCAGCACCUUAUAAAUCUGAAACUAAAGCAGUACCGAAAAAAGAGAAAGUGCGGUGAACGUCCUUUUAGUGCCUCUUUCUGUUCUUCAGGGAUGAAAUUCUCUCUUCUCUACCAUUUAUAGGCAGCGGGAGUAACUCUGACGGCCCGCCGAGCCUCGGGCUCCAGCGUGGCGGCCGUCCCUCUGGCCGGGAUGGGCAGGGCAGGCUCCCAGCUCUUCUCCCCCAGCCUUAUCACCGGAGCUGGGCUAGCUCUCCAAAACAUAUUUUAUUUACACUUCAGUCUUCAACUGCACAUCAGAGAGCCUCUCACUACAUCUGGGCUGCUUCAGCCACUGCAGUCCAUCAAACGUUUAAGAAGGCACAGAAAGAUAAGAAAUUAUGUGGGCGAGAUGCUGGUCUGGGAGCCUGGAGGCCUUGGGAGCGCUCCAGCCUCAGCCGCCGGGUCUGGAUCGGAUGCCACCUUCGGAUUCAAAUACAAACAACAACGACGACGACAAAUGGAAGGUUGCUCAGAGAACAGAGAAAAUCCUGCACUUUAUCACCAGUUUAAAUCCACCGGAGAAGGGAAGCUGUCUCUGAGGAGGAUGUGAGCACGCAUUGACAUUCCCGGGCUGUGCUCCCUUCUCUGACGUGUUGGGGAGCGAGAGGGAUCUCUACCCUCCUGCACCUAUCAUGCCUGUGGGAAAGCAGCCAUUAGGAGCUAAGUGAAC